rnacentral:rRNA from 1 species
AUUGAACGCUGGCGGCAUGCCUAACACAUGCAAGUCGAACGGCAGCACGGCAGUAGCAAUACUGUGGGUGGCGAGUGGCGGACGGGUGAGGAAUACGUCGGAAUCUGCCCAGUCGUGGGGGAUAACUAGCCGAAAGGUUAGCUAAUACCGCAUACGACCGAGAGGUGAAAGCGGGGGACCGGCAAGGCCUCGCGCGAUUGGAUGAGCCGACGUCGGAUUAGCUAGUUGGUGGGGUAAAGGCCCACCAAGGCGACGAUCCGUAGCUGGUCUGAGAGGAUGAUCAGCCACACUGGAACUGAGACACGGUCCAGACUCCUACGGGAGGCAGCAGUGGGGAAUAUUGGACAAUGGGCGCAAGCCUGAUCCAGCAAUGCCGCGUGUGUGAAGAAGGACUUCGGGUUGUAAAGCACUUUUAUCAGGAACGAAAAGACGUUGGAUUAAUACUCUGACGUGCUGACGGUACCUGAGGAAUAAGCA